UUUCCGAAUGCGAGAGAAAACGUUUCAAUGACGGCAUAAUACAUAACAACACAACCUUUUUGAAAGUGAAAUCACCGCUACAAACUCCAUUUUCUCAUUGGACUUUCGUCUUUGCCUGCGUGCGGACUGCAGUCACACGAAGCCAACGGUGUUACGAAAAGAAUCGAGUCGCGGAGAGAAAGAGAGAGAGAAGAUGGAUUCGCCGGCGAUGACCGGCGACACGAACAAGAUAGCGGUGAGGUCGUCGAUUGUGGAGUCACUACGCGGCUGCGGUUUCUCUGGGAUUCGAAUUGAUAAGGAGGAGUUGAAGAAGCAGCUCACCAUGCCGCAGUAUCUUCGUUUCGCAAUGCGGGAUUCCAUUCGCCUUCAGGACCCUGCCGCCGGCGAGUCCCGCUACUUGCGCCGCACUGACGACGAGGAUGCUACCGCUCCGCCUUGUCCCAUGGUCGUCUUCAUCAAUCCCCGCAGCGGCGGUCGCCACGGUCCUGUUCUCAAGGAGAGGCUUCAGCAACUCAUGAGUGAAGAGCAGGUUUUUGACCUUUCAGAUGUGAAGCCUCAUGAAUUUGUACGGCAUGGAUUGGCUUGCCUGGAGUUGUUAUCAAGUCUUGGUGAUUCUUGUGCCAAAGACACUCGUGAAAGAAUCAGGGUUAUGGUUGCUGGGGGUGAUGGUACAGUUGGCUGGGUAUUAGGAUGUCUUACGGAACUUCGCAUCCAGGGUCGAGAGCCAGUUCCUCCUGUAGGGAUCAUACCACUGGGCACAGGCAAUGACCUAUCUAGGAGUUUUCGUUGGGGUGGAUCAUUUCCGUUUGCAUGGAAGGCAGCUAUUAAGAAAAGUUUAUAUAGGGCUACUACUGGACCAGUUCACCGUUUGGAUAGUUGGCGAGUUUCACUUUCAAUGCCAGAAGGCACACCUGUGAACCUACCACAUUGUUUGAAGCAUACAGAAGAGUUUACUCUUGAUCAGGGUGUUGAAAUUGAGGGAGAGCUUCCUGAAAAAGUUGCAAGUUAUGAAGGCGUAUUCUAUAAUUACUUCAGCAUAGGAAUGGAUGCCCAAGUAGCUUAUGGCUUCCAUCAUCUACGGAAUGACAAACCAUACCUUGCAAAUGGUCCAAUUGCAAAUAAGAUUAUAUACUCUGGAUACAGUUGCACACAAGGCUGGUUUUUCACACCUUGCACAAGUGAUCCAGGUCUAAGGGGGCUUAGAAACAUUUUGCGGAUGCAUAUCAAAAGGGUCAAUUGCUCAGAGUGGGAGCCGGUCACAAUUCCAACAAGUGUAAGGGCAAUUGUUGCUUUGAAUCUUCAUAGCUAUGGAAGUGGAAGAAACCCAUGGGGUAAACUGAAACCAAAAUACUUGGAAAAGGCUUUUACAUGUACUUCCAGAGAGGCUUUGUUGAAGCUGAUGUUGCCGAUGGGCUGUUGGAGAUAUUUGGUUUAAAGCAAGGAUGGCAUGCGUCGUUUGUCAUGGUUGAACUGAUCUCUGCAAAGCACAUAGCUCAGGCAUCAGCUAUUCGAUUGGAAGUCAGAGGUGGAGCCUGGAAAAAUUCCUAUAUGCAAAUGGAUGGUGAACCCUGGAAACAGCCAUUGAGCAAAGAUUUCUCCACGUUCGUGGAAAUAAAGAGGGAGCCCUUCCAGUCUCUUGUGAUUAGUGGCAAGUGAUUCCUAGGUGGUUGGCUGUUCCAUAGCUGGGAUUCAUGAAAGGGUUGUGUAUAAUAUGCAAUCUUAGGUUCUGGCUUUCCAUUAUAUGGAGAGUUUGAUGUUGUAAAAAAUAAAAUUUCUUCUUUUGUUGUUUUAUUGCAAAAGUCUAGUUUGUGAUUAGUGGAAAGCAAUUCUUUGAUGGUUUCCAUAGCUCGUAGUCAUGGAAGGCAUGUGUAUUAUACACAAUCUUGGGCAUUGGCGUUUCAUUAUAUAUAUAUAAGGAAAAAUUAU